GCCCAAUAUUAAAACAAGGUUAGCACUAAUGUCAUAUUAUAAAACUAAUUGAGAGAGAAAAUAACUUUCCCAUUACUGCAAAAAAGAGUAGCUAAGCUACUUAUACUAGCAAUGGUUACAGAGAAGUGGGAAAAGAAAAAUAUGAUGUAACUAAACUGCUAGCUUUCAACUGAAACUAAAAUACAAAACUAGCUAACUUAUUACAAGAACUAGCCACUUAAUAGCUAAAAAUAAAUUAGUUGCUACAAAGAAAAUUAACCAUUUUCUUUAUUGUCCAAGAUUUUAUAAUUUUAUAUUGACAUUUGUGCAAAUUAA
rnacentral:misc_RNA from 1 species